rnacentral:rRNA from 1 species
UACGUAGGGUGCAAGCGUUGUCCGGAAUUAUUGGGCGUAAAGAGCUCGUAGGCGGUUUGUCGCGUCUGCUGUGAAAACGCGAGGCUCAACCUCGGGCCUGCAGUGGGUACGGGCAGACUAGAGUGCGGUAGGGGAGAUUGGAAUUCCUGGUGUAGCGGUGGAAUGCGCAGAUAUCAGGAGGAACACCGAUGGCGAAGGCAGAUCUCUGGGCCGUUACUGACGCUGAGGAGCGAAAGCGUGGGGAGCGAACAGG